rnacentral:rRNA from 1 species
GACGAACGCUGGCGGCGUGCUUAACACAUGCAAGUCGAACGGUGAAGCGAGUGCUUGCACUCGUGGAUCAGUGGCGAACGGGUGAGUAACACGUGAGUAACCUGCCCAUCACUCUGGGAUAAGCACUGGAAACGGUGUCUAAUACUGGAUACGACCAACCCCUGCAUGGGGUGUUGGUGGAAAGAUUUAUCGGUGAUGGAUGGACUCGCGGCCUAUCAGCUUGUUGGCGGGGUAAUGGCCCACCAAGGCGACGACGGGUAGCCGGCCUGAGAGGGUGACCGGCCACACUGGGACUGAGACACGGCCCAGACUCCUACGGGAGGCAGCAGUGGGGAAGAUUGCACAAUGGGCGAAAGCCUGAUGCAGCGACGCCGCGUGGGGGAUGACGGCCUUCGGGUUGUAAACCUCUUUCAGCAGGGAAGAAGCGAAAGUGACGGUACCUGCAGAAGAAGCACCGGCUAACUACGUG